AAGCCAGCCAAUGGAUCUGCUUAUCUAAAUGCGUUUCUGCAGAAAUUUAGAUAUAGCUGGCAACAGUGAUGCCAUUCUAUGAGACUUAAGGAGAACUUAGGCCCUUACAGUCCCUCAAAAUAGCUAUAAUA
ensembl:snoRNA